AUUUCAGUGUGUCCAAAGUCUGAAGAAGAAGCAGCCCAGGCAGUUGCAGAGUCUGUUGUGUGUCCAAAGUCUGAAGAGAAAGCAGUCCAGACGGUUGCAGAAUCUUUUGUGUGUCCAAAGUCUGAGAGAAAGCAGUCCAGACGGUUGCAGAAUCUUUUGAUUCUGUAACGGUAGAGGAGAUUCAUCUUCAUAGGGUGUCCCAAAAGUUGGCAGGUAAAUGGCAGGAACUUGGAAGGGAAUUAGGAAUUAAACAACAUGACCUGGACAUCAUCAAGCUUGACCAUUCUCAUAGCGUUAGGGAACAAAGUUUCCAGAUGCUUCUGACAUGGUUUCAAAGUUGUGAUCCGGCAAAACGUACACUUCAAAUAUUAAAAGAAGCUCUUGAAAGAACUGAAUGUUUUAUUGCAAUUGAAUGUUUAUCAUCAGAAUUCAAUCGAAUUUCUUUGUAAAUUGUUGCUGUUGCUUAGUCCCACAUCUAUCUUCACCACAGACCUAUUAUCAAAUGCCUUCCAUUCAAGACCAUCCUGUCUUUUCCCUAAGUAUAGAGAACAGAACCACAUUGUUAAAUGUGUCCUUCUUUAAGGUGAUAGGUUUUGAAUGGAGUAGGAUUUGGUUACUAAUUCUAGCAGAUCUAUCUACCACAUGCAGACCCCUUUAUUGGUUUGGCUCCCUCGUUGUUCGAGAUUAACUGUGGAAAUAAAGACAAACUUUGAAAUUUCA